GCCGAGGUAGCUCAGGUGGUAGAGCAUGCGGCUGAAAACCGCAGGGUCGUCGGUUCGACUCCGACCCUCGGCA
rnacentral:tRNA from 2 species